AGCCACAGUGUCUCUGUCAGGAUGGGUGAGUUCUGGAGUGAGAGAUGUAUAGACAGCCCUGCCAGAUGGAGAAGUCUGGGUGGAGGAAACUCAGGGACAGGAGACUUCUCCCAGAUCUGAUCAUCGUAAUUUCCCCCCACCCUGAGACAGGAUGCCACUGUGUAGCCCAGUGUAGUGAACACUUGGAAUACAAAAUAAAGAUGGUGGAAUGAGACAUUCCGUCUCCAGUUCCUAACAUCAGAAGUGAGCACCUGUGUGUCACCAGCAACAUAUUGGAGGCCAGCUGCCUACACCAAUCAGAAACAGGGACCACAAAGUCUGCAGGGGUGAGAUAGGCCUUUUCAGUGUCUACGAUUUCAUCAUGGACAUUACUGUCGAUUUCUCUUCCUGCCCCUGUAUGUGCGGGUCUAUCGCCAUCUCGCCAUCUCCGGCUCCUGUGUUAUGAAGACAGUCUCAUGCAGCCCAGACCAAUCUCAAAUUGACUAGGUAAACUGAGGCUGGCCUUGAACCAGUCCCUCCUGCCUCUAUCUCCUGAGAGCUGGGUAACAGCUUCUGGAGCCUCACCCAGCUUCGCUUUCACCACCCCAGCCAAUCCUGUGACUCCUCUUCAUAGCGAGAGCAUUGACACUUAUGUUCUGAGUGUGAAAAAAAAAAAAAAAUCACAUAGUACUUCCUACUAGAACCUUGCCCGGGUCAACUGAAGUGUGUGUGUUUGCUUACCAGUCUGCAGGUUUGCUUAAGUUUGUUUAUUUUAGAGACCAGGUCUUGCUCUGUUGCCUAAGCCAACUUGAAACUCUUGGGCUCCAACAGUUCUCCUGCUCCAUCUUUCUAGAGCAGCUGGGACUCUAGGCAUGCUCCACUACAGCUGACUGAAGCUUGAAUGAAUGAAUGAAUGAAUGAAUGAGUUACUACCUCUGAGGGACCCUCCUCAUGGCCUUCUCAACUCUGUACUUUAAUUAGUUGCUUAGAGGUGUCUCCAUGCCUCAGUUUCCCCAUCUGUAAUAGUAAACGAGUUCACAGGCGUGGUCUGUGCUUGGAGCAAGAACAAAACCAUCCUGGCCUAUACUCUCUAGGGACUCUACAGAGCCCAUCCCUUUGGCUAUCAGACUGUUGAGAUAAAGGUUCCCCCAGGAAUCGGAAUCCCCUCCGACAGGAGUCUCAUGCUCAGAGAAGAAAAAAAGCUGAAGCCUGCUGACAGCCAGAGAGGGUACUUGUCUGUCAGGGAAAAAUUCUACACAGGACAGACUGGAGCCCAGACUGGUCUGGGUCAGUGACACACGGCACAGCACACGGUGGGACAACCUGGCUGUGCAUCUCUCUCAAACCUCAACCUCAGUCUGAAGAUGGAUUGGGGGGGGGGGUCCCUGGACCUCAUUACUUGUCACCCUUCUCACUGUGGCCACAGCGAAGCGAAUACAUCUCUCUGCUUUUCA
rnacentral:lncRNA from 1 species